UGCCAGACUCCUACGGGAGGCAGCAGUGGGGAAUAUUGCACAAUGGGGGGAACCCUGAUGCAGCGACGCCGCGUGAGUGAAGAAGUAUUUCGGUAUGUAAAGCUCUCUCAGCAGGGAAGAAAAUGACGGUACCUGACUAAGAAGCCCCGGCUAACUACGUGCCAGCAGCCGCGGUAAUACGUAGGGGGCAAGCGUUAUCCGGAUUUACUGGGUGUAAAGGGAGCGUAGACGGCAAUGCAAGCCAGAUGUGAAAACCCGCAGCUCAACUGGGGGAGUGCAUUUGGAACUGUGUAGCUGGAGUGCAGGAGAGGUAAGCGGAAUUCCUGGUGUAGCGGUGAAAUGCGUAGAUAUCAGGAGGAACACCAGUGGCGAAGGCGGCUUACUGGACUGUAACUGACGUUGAGGCUCGAAAGCGUGGGGAGCAAACAGGAUUAGAUACCCCAGUAUG
rnacentral:rRNA from 1 species